AACCUCCGCAAUGUGAGAAAUCGCGACGGGGGGAUCCCAAGUGCCAUUCUUAACGGGAUGGCUUUUCAUUAGUGUAAAGAGCUUUUGGAAUAAGAGCUGGGCAAGACCGGUGCCAGCCGCCGCGGUAACACCGGCAGCUCUAGUGGUAACAAUUUUUAUUGGGCCUAAAGCGUCCGUAGCCGGUUUAAUAAGUCUCUGGUGAAAUCCUGUAGCUUAACUGUGGGAAUUGCUGGAGAUACUAUUAGACUUGAGACCGGGAGAGGUUAGAGGUACUCCCAGGGUAGAGGUGAAAUUCUGUAAUCCUGGGAGGACCGCCUGUUGCGAAGGCGUCUAACUGGAACGGUUCUGACGGUGAGGGACGAAAGUUAGGGGCGCGAACCGGAUUAGAUACCCGGGUAGUCCUAACUGUAAACGAUGCGGACUUGGUGUUGGGGUGGCUUUGAGCUGCUCCAGUGCCGAAGGGAAGCUGUUAAGUCCGCCGCCUGGGAAGUACGGUCGCAAGACUGAAACUUAAAGGAAAU
rnacentral:rRNA from 1 species